rnacentral:rRNA from 1 species
UACGUAGGGGGCAAGCGUUGUCCGGAAUCAUUGGGCGUAAAGAGCGUGUAGGCGGCCCGGUAAGUCCGCUGUGAAAGUCCAGGCUCAACCCUGGGAUGCCGGUGGAUACUGUCGGGCUCGAGUCCGGAAGAGGCGAGUGGAAUUCCUGGUGUAGCGGUGAAAUGCGCAGAUAUCAGGAGGAACACCAAUGGCGAAGGCAGCUCGCUGGGACGUGACUGACGCUGAGGCGCGAAAGCUAGGGGGAGCAAACGGG